AUUGAACGCUGGCGGAAUGCUUUACACAUGCAAGUCGAACGGCAGCACGGGGGCAACCCUGGUGGCGAGUGGCGAAAGGGUGAGUAAUACAUCGGAAAGUGCCCAGUCGUGGGGGAUAACGUAGCGAAAGUUACGCUAAUACAGAAAACGAACUACGGAUGAAAGCGGGGGACCGUAAGGCCCAGCGCGAUUGGAGAGGCAGAUGUCAGAUUAGGUAGGUGGUGAGGUAAAGGAUCAACAAGGCGGCGAUCUGGAGCUGGUCUGAGAGGACGACCAGCCACACUGGGACUGAGACACGGCCCAGACUCCUACGGGAGGCAGCAGUGGGGAAUUUUGGACAAUGGGCGCAAGCCUGAUCCAGCCAUUCCGCGUGAAGGACGAAGGCCUUCGGGUUGUAAACUGCUUUUGUACGGAACGAAAAGGCUCUGGUUAAUACCUGGGGCUCAUGACGGUACCGUAAGAAUAAGCACCGGCUAACUACGUGCCAGCAGCCGCCGUAA
rnacentral:rRNA from 1 species